rnacentral:rRNA from 1 species
ACGCUCGACACCUACGGGAGGCAGCAGUGGGGAAUAUUGCACAAUGGAGGGAACCCUGAUGCAGCGACGCCGCGUGAGGGAAGAAGGUUUUCGGAUUGUAAACCUCUGUCUUGUGGGACGAUAAUGACGGUACCACAGGAGGAAGCCAUGGCUAACUACGUGCCACAGCCGCGGUAAUCUGAGCGGGCUGGCAAGGC